GACGAACGCUGGCGGCGUGCUUAACACAUGCAAGUCGAACGGAAAGGCCCUUCGGGGUAGUCGAGUGCGAAAGGGGAGCGUGAGACGUAGAUGUUCGUCACUUCCCUUUGAGUUAGGGCUGAGUUAAUGAAACUAGUACUGAAUCGGGACACGCGCUCCUGCGGCAGGGUGGGGAAUGUUUAGCUUUGGCGGUUGGGGAUGGGCCCGCGGCUUAUCAGCUUGUUGGUGGGGUAUUGGCAUACCAAGGCGGUGACGGGUAGCCGGCCUGAGAGGGUGACCGGCCACACUGGGACUGAGAUACGGCCCAGACUCCUACGGGAGGCAGCAGUGGGGAAUAUUGCACAAUGGGCGGAAGCCUGAUGCAGCGACGCCGCGUGAGGGAUGACGGCCUUCGGGUUGUAAACCGCUUUCGCCAGGGACGAAGCGUAAGUGACGGUACCGGGUGAAGAAGCACCGGCCAACUACGUG
rnacentral:rRNA from 1 species